GGACUACACAUGCAGUCGAGCGGUAGCACAGAGAGCUUGCUCUCGGGUGACGAGCGGCGGACGGGUGAGUAAUGUCUGGGAAACUGCCUGAUGGAGGGGGAUAACUACUGGAAACGGUAGCUAAUACCGCAUAACGUCGCAAGACCAAAGUGGGGGACCUUCGGGCCUCAUGCCAUCAGAUGUGCCCAGAUGGGAUUAGCUGGUAGGUGGGGUAACGGCUCACCUAGGCGACGAUCCCUAGCUGGUCUGAGAGGAUGACCAGCCACACUGGAACUGAGACACGGUCCAGACUCCUACGGGAGGCAGCAGUGGGGAAUAUUGCACAAUGGGCGCAAGCCUGAUGCAGCCAUGCCGCGUGUGUGAAGAAGGCCUUCGGGUUGUAAAGCACUUUCAGCGGGGAGGAAGGCGGUGAGGUUAAUAACCUCACCGAUUGACGUUACCCGCAGAAGAAGCACCGGCUAACUCCGUGCCAGCAGCCGCGGUAAUACGGAGGGUGCAAGCGUUAAUCGGAAUUACUGGGCGUAAAGCGCACGCAGGCGGUCUGUCAAGUCGGAUGUGAAAUCCCCGGGCUCAACCUGGGAACUGCAUUCGAAACUGGCAGGCUAGAGUCUUGUAGAGGGGGGUAGAAUUCCAGGUGUAGCGGUGAAAUGCGUAGAGAUCUGGAGGAAUACCGGUGGCGAAGGCGGCCCCCUGGACAAAGACUGACGCUCAGGUGCGAAAGCGUGGGGAGCAAACAGGAUUAGAUACCCUGGUAGUCCACGCUGUAAACGAUGUCGAUUUGGAGGUUGUGCCCUUGAGGCGUGGCUUCCGGAGCUAACGCGUUAAAUCGACCGCCUGGGGAGUACGGCCGCAAGGUUAAAACUCAAAUGAAUUGACGGGGGCCCGCACAAGCGGUGGAGCAUGUGGUUUAAUUCGAUGCAACGCGAAGAACCUUACCUGGUCUUGACAUCCACAGAACUUUCCAGAGAUGGAUUGGUGCCUUCGGGAACUGUGAGACAGGUGCUGCAUGGCUGUCGUCAGCUCGUGUUGUGAAAUGUUGGGUUAAGUCCCGCAACGAGCGCAACCCUUAUCCUUUGUUGCCAGCGGUCCGGCCGGGAACUCAAAGGAGACUGCCAGUGAUAAACUGGAGGAAGGUGGGGAUGACGUCAAGUCAUCAUGGCCCUUACGACCAGGGCUACACACGUGCUACAAUGGCAUAUACAAAGAGAAGCGACCUCGCGAGAGCAAGCGGACCUCAUAAAGUAUGUCGUAGUCCGGAUUGGAGUCUGCAACUCGACUCCAUGAAGUCGGAAUCGCUAGUAAUCGUAGAUCAGAAUGCUACGGUGAAUACGUUCCCGGGCCUUGUACACACCGCCCGUCACACCAUGGGAGUGGGUUGCAAAAGAAGUAGGUAGCUUAACCUUCGGGAGGGCGCUACCACUUUGAU
rnacentral:rRNA from 1 species